GUGCUGUAGAACUGUGUACAGGGAUAAACAAUGGCCCAAAUUCUAGCGGUUUUACUCAGUGUGAGUCGCAGUUUACUCCAUUAUAGACUGCAUAAAGUAUUACUCAAGAUGAAUAAGGCUGGCAGAAUCUGAUCCAACGUUUUUAAAGGAGUGCAAGGAAGAAAGAGCAACUUUCUCCUUUUUCUUUUUGUAGAAAAAUGACUUUUCCCUGGCAUCAUCUUUGGUUUGCUGAAAGAAAAGAGAAAAAAAACCAUGCAUUUGACUGUUCAGUGUCAUAAGCUUUUGGUAUCCACUAAGCCAAACCAUUGGUAGCUUCCAAGAACAGUGCCCCACCUGGAGGAACAGAAGCCAAAUGGCAAACAGUGAGCUGUAAUUUGUCUGUAAGCUGGAGCCAAAUUUAAAUCCAACGUUACACUAAAUAAGCAUUUACCCAUUGCAAGCGCUCUCUUUCUCCCUCUCAUCAUAAUACCAAGCUUUUCUUCCGUUUGAAGGUAGAACGUGUGACUCACUUCAGGACUGGAACUAACCAAAGUCAGAAGCGACCAAAAGUCAUUAACAUUUCACAGCUGUUCUGAUGUGAAUCGGGUUGGUGUUCCCCAUCCAGCUCCUAAGGGGUCGGCAUUCACAUCACAAAAACAUCCAUCUCACUUGUCACCCUGGACUGUCUGGGCAGAGUCAGGAAAAGAAUGAGCAGAAAGGCUGGACUGUACUUAAAUGUGGCCUCCCCAGGUCACAAUACAGGUAACUAGGUAGUGGAUGGAGGAAAGUUUCCAUUGCCACUGCCCAGGCUGUACUGCUUGGGCAAAAAUGUCUCCCUUUGCCAAUGACUUAAGCCACACAUGAAGGGGCAAAUACUAUUAUUAUUGCAUUGGUGCAAAUGGCCCUCAUGCAGUUGUCCUGCACAAAUGAGUCACCAUUACAGUCUCUCUCCUACAGACAAACUACAUGGGCAGAUGGGUUCCAUUAUCAUGACAAGGGUUAUUCAUCCACUACACUGUGCACAAUGCAGUUUUCCGUGAGCUCCCUGACUGACAUGAAAGGGGUAUUCGGACACAGGACAAGGACCGGCCAGAAAAAGAGGAUCCUCUCCUUCCCCUCACCCCUAUCAACACCGUGGUGCUCCCCUUUUCACCCGGAGAAGAUGAUGACUGUAAGGAAGACUGACAAAGACAUAUAGUAUGAAAGCACAGGAGUCCGUUUAAGGAAUACUUUUGGGGCGAAGUACAAUACCAGGAUCUGCUCAGCAAAUGGGUAUUCAGUCUAAAGAAUCUCUUUCACCUGAAUCUUCCACUGGAAGUUUCUAAAGAGAACACGGGGUAACAGGAGGAAUCAGCAAAGCGACAUGCUCAUCUAAUUGCGAACAACAAAAGUCUGUGUGGUUGUGGAAUGAAAUAGCUCCUUUGUACGACAGCCUCCCAGUGGUACAGAGUUACAAGCUGUCACCAAGUUUCUUAACUGUGUGGCAGAAUCCAGUGCUUAAUUUGCUUGA